UACGGGGGGAGCAAGCGUUGUUCGGAUUUACUGGGCGUAAAGGGCGCGUAGGCGGCCACCGCAAGUCGACUGUGAAAUCUCCGGGCUUAACCCGGAAAGGUCAGCCGAUACUGCGGGGCUAGAGUGCAGAAGGGGCAACUGGGAAUUCUCGGUGUAGCGGUGAAAUGCGUAGAUAUCGAGAGGAACACCUGCGGCGAAGGCGGGUGCUGGGCUGACACUGACGCUGAGGCGCGAAAGCUAGGGGAGCGAACGGG
rnacentral:rRNA from 1 species